rnacentral:rRNA from 1 species
CCGCAAGUAGAGUGGCGAACGGGUGAGUAAUACAUCGGAACGUACCCAGUAGCGGGGGAUAACCUCUCGAAAGAGAAGCUAAUACCGCAUACGACCUACGGGUGAAAGCGGGGGAUCGCAAGACCUCGCACUAUUGGAGCGGCCGAUGUCGGAUUAGCUAGUUGGCGGGGUAACGGCCCACCAAGGCGACGAUCCGUAGCUGGUCUGAGAGGACGACCAGCCACACUGGAACUGAGACACGGUCCAGACUCCUACGGGAGGCAGCAGUGGGGAAUUUUGGACAAUGGGCGCAAGCCUGAUCCAGCCAUGCCGCGUGAGUGAAGAAGGCCUUCGGGUUGUAAAGCUCUUUCGGCGGGGACGAAAAGGUCCGUGACAACACCACGGACUCAUGACGGUACCCGCAGAAGAAGCACCGGCUAACUACGUGCCCGCAGCCGCGGUAAUACGUAGGGUGCAGGCGUUAAUCGGAAUUACUGGGCGUAAAGCGUGCGCAGGCGGUUUGCUAAGAGAGGUGUGAAAUCCCCGGGCUUAACCUGGGAACUGCGCUUCUAACUGGCAGGCUGGAGUGUGGCAGAGGGGGGUGGAAUUCCACGUGUAGCAGUGAAAUGCGUAGAGAUGUGGAGGAACACCGAUGGCGAAGGCAGCCCCCUGGGCUAACACUGACGCUCAUGCACGAAAGCGUGGGGAGCAAACAGGAUUAGAUACCCUGGUAGUCCACGCCCUAAACUAUGUC